rnacentral:rRNA from 1 species
AACCUUCCUCUCAGUUGGGGACAACACUUCUAACGAGGUGCUAAUACCGAAUACGAUCUUAUUUUCACAUGGAAAUUUGAUGAAAGGCGGCCUCUGCUUGCAAGCUGUCACUGAGAGAUGGCCUCGCGUCCCAUUAGCUAGUUGGUGAGGUAACUGCUCACCAAGGCGUCGAUGGGUAGCCGGCCUUAGCGGGUGACCGGCCACACUGGGACUGAGAUACGGCCCAG